ensembl:snRNA U2 U2 spliceosomal RNA
AUUGCUUCUCGGCCUUUUGGCUAAGAUCAAGUGUAGAAUAUAAGUUUUUGAAAUAGUUUCUUAUAAUCUUCUGGAUCUUGGCAGUGUCCACUGUGAUUUUGUCAUUUUCAUUUCUCAUUGCAUUGAUAUGAAAUUUUU